CCUUACACUAGCCUUUAAGAUUUCUGACAGCAAAAGCAAUGACUGCUCAUUUUGUCAUUGCACCCAGGUACUCAAAAAGGGCCAGGGUGCAGCAGUGAGUGCCAGUCUGAAUGAAGGAAGCAUGCGUGGCCUGGAGCCUCACUGUGUUCCAGGCACCCAGAAUAAGUUCUCACAUGGGAACCCGAGCAAAGUGUAAUGGAUGUUCCCAGGAGCUGCCUAUGGGAUUGAAGAAACACGUAUGAGAGGAGUAACAUUUGGGCUGGAAGCGAAAAUACAAGUAAAUAUAUGUCAAAUAGGAUGAAUGACAUCUUUGGACAUCCCUC
rnacentral:lncRNA from 1 species